CUGAAGGCAUGAUAGUGAUGACAAUGGCUUCAAGCCGCAGAGGGCAGGCGGGGCUGAGGGUGUCCUGGUGGUG